AAUUCGGGGCCUUUUAUCAGAUGCUGGUUUGAUAAAAGGAUUCGAUAUCUGCGUACUAACGUAUUUUCUUGCUGCGAGAGCCGAGAGAAUGCGUUUUUUU
rfam:Lactobacillus mellis strain Hon2 genomic scaffold Hon2_scaffold2, whole genome shotgun sequence.